rnacentral:rRNA from 1 species
UACGUAGGAUGCAGCGUUGUCCGGAAUUACUGGGCGUAAAGGGCGCGUAGGCGGUCAGCACAAGUCAGUUGUGAAAUCUCCGGGCUUAACUCGGAAAGGUCAACUGAUACUGUGCGACUAGAGUGCGGAAGGGGCAACUGGAAUUCUCGGUGUAGCGGUGAAAUGCGUAGAUAUCGAGAGGAACACCUGCGGCGAAGGCGGGUUGCUGGGCCGACACUGACGCUGAUGCGCGAAAGCCAGGGGAGCGAACGGG